UUAGGAAUUUUGCGCAAUGGGGGAAACCCUGACGCAGCAACGCCGCGUGAGUGAAGAAGGCUUUCGGGUCGUAAAGCUCUUUUAGCAGGGACGAAAAAAAUGACGGUACCUGCAGAAAAAGCACCGGCUAACUCCGUGCCAGCAGCCGCGGUAAUACGGAGGGUGCAAGCGUUAUUCGGAUUGACUGGGCGUAAAGCGCGCGUAGGCGGCUUUUUAAGUCUGAUGUGAAAUCCCUGAACUCAAUUCAGGAAGUGCAUUGGAUACUGAAAAGCUAGAGUAUAGGAGGGGAGAGCGGAAUUCCUGGUGUAGAGGUGAAAUUCGUAGAUAUCAGGAGGAACAACAGUGGCGAAGGCGGCUCUCUGGACUAUAACUGACGCUGAGGUGCGAAAGCGUGGGGAGC
rnacentral:rRNA from 1 species